GUCUACGGUCAUGUUAUCCUGAACGUGCCCGAUCUCGUCUGAUCUCGGAAGCUAAAGCAGGGUUGGGCCUGGUUAGUACUUGGAUGGGAGACCACCUAGGAAGACCAGGUGCUGUAGGUG
rnacentral:rRNA from 1 species